AUAGGAUACCUGAAACGUCUACAUCCACUCUCACCAUUCACAAUGUAGAGAAACAGGACAUAGCUACCUACUACUGUGCCUUGUGGGAGAUUAUUAUAAGAAACUCUUUGGCAGUGGAACAACACUUGUUGUCACAGAUAAACAACUUGAUGCAGAUGUUUCCCCCAAGCCCACUAUUUUUCUUCCUUCGAUUGCUGAAACAAAAC
rnacentral:lncRNA from 1 species